rnacentral:rRNA from 1 species
ACUCCUACGGGAGGCAGCAGUGGGGAAUAUUGCACAAUGGGCGCAAGCCUGAUGCAGCCAUGCCGCGUGUGUGAAGAAGGCCUUCGGGUUGUAAAGCACUUUCAGUUGUGAGGAAGGUGGUGUCGUUAAUAGCGGCAUCAUUUGACGUUAGCAACAGAAGAAGCACCGGCUAACUCCGUGCCAGCAGCCGCGGUAAUACGGAGGGUGCGAGCGUUAAUCGGAAUUACUGGGCGUAAAGCGCAUGCAGGUGGUUUGUUAAGUCAGAUGUGAAAGCCCGGGGCUCAACCUCGGAACUGCAUUUGAAACUGGCAGACUAGAGUACUGUAGAGGGGGGUAGAAUUUCAGGUGUAGCGGUGAAAUGCGUAGAGAUCUGAAGGAAUACCGGUGGCGAAGGCGGCCCCCUGGGACAGAUACUGACACUCAGAUGCGAAAGCGU